rnacentral:rRNA from 1 species
AACCUUACCUACCCUUGACAUGGUCGGAAUCCUGCUGAGAGGUGGGAGUGCUCGAAAGAGAACCGGCGCACAGGUGCUGCAUGGCUGUCGUCAGCUCGUGUCGUGAGAUGUUGGGUUAAGUCCCGCAACGAGCGCAACCCUUGUCCUUAGUUGCUACGCAAGAGCACUCUAAGGAGACUGCCGGUGACAAACCGGAGGAAGGUGGGGAUGACGUCAAGUCCUCAUGGCCCUUAUGGGUAGGGCUUCACACGUCAUACAAUGGUCUGGAUCUUGAGGGUUGCCAACCCGCGAGGGGGAGCUAAUCCCG